rnacentral:rRNA from 1 species
UACGUAGGGGGCGAGCGUUGUCCGGAAUUACUGGGCGUAAAGGGUGCGUAGGCGGUUCAUUAAGUUAGAAGUGUAAUACCCAGGGCUUAACUCGGGUGCUGCUUCUAAAACUAAUGGGCUUGAGUGCAGGAGGGGAGAGUGGAAUUCCUAGUGUAGCGGUGGAAUGCGUAGAUAUUAGGAAGAACAUCAGUGGCGAAGGCGACUCUCUGGCCUGUAACUGACGCUGAGGCACGAAAGCGUGGGUAGCAAACAGGAUUAGAUACCCUGGUAGUCCACGCCGUAAACGAUGGAUACUAGAUGCAGGAGGUAUUGACUCCUUCUGUGUCGCAGUUAACGCAUUAAGUAUCCCGCCUGGGGAGUACGGCCGCAAGGCUAAAACUCAAAGGAAUUGACGGGGGCCCGCACAAGCAGCGGAGCAUGUGGUUUAAUUCGAAGCAACGCGAAAAACCUUACCAAGACUUGACAUCGUAUGACCACUAUGGAAACAUAGCUUCUCUUCGGAGCAUAUAGACAGGUGGUGCAUGGUU